rnacentral:rRNA from 1 species
UACGGAGGAUCCAAGCGUUAUCCGGAUUUAUUGGGUUUAAAGGGUGCGUAGGCGGCUUAUUAAGUCAGGGGUGAAAGACGGUGGCUCAACCAUCGCAGUGCCCUUGAUACUGAUGAGCUUGAAUACACUUGAGGUAGGCGGAAUGUGACAAGUAGCGGUGAAAUGCAUAGAUAUGUCACAGAACACCAAUUGCGAAGGCAGCUUACUAAGGUGCAAUUGACGCUGAGGCACGAAAGCGUGGGAUCAAACAGG